GGGGAUGUCAGGGCUGGGAGGGAGCUUAGAACAGGGGAGGUCAGGGCUGGGAGGGAGCUUAGAACAGGGGAGGUCAGGGCUGGGAGGGAGCUUAGAACAGGGGAGGUCAGGGCUGGGAGGGAGCUUAGAACAGGGGAUGUCAGAGCUGGGAGAGAGCUUAGAACAGGGGAUGUCAGGGCUGGGAGGGAGCUUAGAACAGGGGAUGUCAGGGCUGGGAGGGAGCUUAGAACAGGGGAUGUCAGGGCUGGGAGGGAGCUUAGAACAGGGGAUGUCAGGGCUGGGGGGGAGCUUAGAACAGGGGAUGUCAGGGCUGGGGGGGAGCUUAGAACAGGGGAUGUCAGGGCUGGGAGGGAGCUUAGAACAGGGGAUGUCAGGGCUGGGAGGGAGCUUAGAACAGGGGAUGUCAGGGCUGGGAGGGAGCUUAGAACAGGGGAUGUCAGGGCUGGGAGGGAGCUUAGAACAGGGGAGGUCAGAGCUGGGAGGGGGCUUAGAACAGGGGAGGUCAGAGCUGGGAGGGAGCUUAGAACAGGGGAGGU